UACGUAGGGUCCGAGCGUUGUCCGGAGUGACUGGGCGUAAAGCGCGCGCAGGCGGCCCUUUAGGCACGACGUGAAAGCCCCGGGCUCAACCCGGGAGGGUCGUCGUGAACCGGGGGGCUUGAGGCCGGUAGAGGUGGGUGGAACUCCUGGUGGAGUGGUGAAAUGCGUAGAGAUCAGGAAGAACACCCGUGGCGAAGGCGGCCCACUGGGCCGGUACUGACGCUGAGGCGCGAAGGCGUGGGGAGCGAACGGG
rnacentral:rRNA from 1 species